rnacentral:miRNA from 1 species
CAACGACAUGGAACCACCUGAC